CCUACGGGAGGCUGCAGUGGGGAAUCUUGCGCAAUGGGCGAAAGCCUGACGCAGCGACGCCGCGUGCGGGAGGACGGCCUUCGGGUCGUAAACCGCUGUUGCCCGGGACGAAUGCCCUUUUCGAAGGGAGUGACGGUACCGGGUGAGGAAGCACCGGCUAACUCCGUGCCAGCAGCCGCGGUAAUACGGAGGGUGCGAGCGUUGUCCGGAAUCACUGGGCGUAAAGGGCGCGUAGGCGGCUCAAGGAGUCGGGGGUGAAAGUCCGGGGCUCAACCCCGGAUCGGCCUUCGAGACGCUUGAGCUCGAGCACGGUAGAGGCGGGUGGAAUUCCGGGUGUAGCGGUGGAAUGCGUAGAGAUCCGGAAGAACACCGGUGGCGAAGGCGGCCCGCUGGGCCGUGGCUGACGCUGAGGCGCGACAGCGUGGGGAGCAAACAGGAUU
rnacentral:rRNA from 1 species